AAGUCGUAACAAGGUUUCCGUAGGUGAACCUGGGGAAGGAUCAUUAACACGUAUCCAACGUUAAACAACCCUGUGAACUUAAGUUUUGAUUCGGGACCUCUGUCCAAAAGGUGUUACAAUUGAGCGGUAGAGGCAGUGGCAUGGCUUCCCCAAGCAGUUAGUGAAUGACAGUGUCACUGAUUGUGUAAGGAUAACGCCUCACGGUUGCCAGAGGUCGAUCACCGACCGGCAGACAUGUCACAGGGUCACCACGCCCCUUAAUCACCCCAAUUUGAAAUUGCUCCUACCUGGUGGUAACGCACUGGGUCAAAAAAACCGAACAACUGUUAACAAUGGAUAUCUUGGUUCUC
rnacentral:misc_RNA from 1 species